rnacentral:rRNA from 1 species
AUGAACGCUGGCGGCGUGCUUAACACAUGCAAGUCGAACGAAGCACUUACAAUUGAUUCUUCGGAAGAGAGAGUUUGUGACUGAGUGGCGGACGGGUGAGUAACGCGUGGGCAACCUGCCUCAUACAGGGGGAUAACACUUAGAAAUAGGUGCUAAUACCGCAUAAGCGCACAGAAUCGCAUGAUUCAGUGUGAAAAACUCCGGUGGCAUACGAUGGACCCGCGUCUGAUUAGCUAGUUGGUGAGGUAACGGCUCACCAAGGCGACGAUCAGUAGCCGGCCUGAGAGGGUGAACGGCCACAUUGGGACUGAGACACGGCCCAAACUCCUACGGGAGGCAGCAGUGGGGAAUAUUGCACAAUGGGGGAAACCCUGAUGCAGCGACGCCGCGUGAGCGAAGAAGUAUUUCGGUAUGUAAAGCUCUAUCAGCAGGGAAGAAAAUGACGGUACCUGACUAAGAAGCCCCGGCUAACUACGUG